AGAACUCAAGAAAGACGAAUGGAAGCAUCUACUAAAGUUAGUCUACUAUGAAUGGAAUGAUAGUGAGUUUGUAAGGUGGCUAUUUAAUGUGUUAGGCAUAAUCCAGGACAAUCCAAAUAGCCAGAAAGAGAAUCUCCACUGCAUCCUUGUUGGCUCAAAGCGUUAAUAUAGGCGCACCCAGCAGGUAUGAGACAUCUGAGACAU